UACGUAGGUGGCGAGCGUUGUCCGGAUUUAUUGGGCGUAAAGCGCGCGCAGGCGGCGCCGCAAGUCCGGUGUGAAAGCGCCCGGCUCAACUGGGCGAGGUCAUUGGAGACUGCGGUGCUGGAGGGUGGCAGAGGCCGGUGGAAUUCCCGGUGUAGUGGUGAAAUGCGUAGAGAUCGGGAGGAACACCAGUGGCGAAGGCGGCCGGCUGGGCCAUACCUG
rnacentral:rRNA from 1 species